rnacentral:piRNA from 1 species
AAAUAAGGACAUUAAAUUCAAGCAUUUGG